rnacentral:antisense_RNA from 1 species
AGUCAUGAUUACUAUUCCCUUUAAUAGUGAUUGUGGUUAGCGGAAAAGUGUGUUGGCGCACACUUUCUCCGCGCU